UAUGUGAUCGUCUCUCGCAUAUCAAUAAGCGGAGGAAAAGAAACUAACAAGGAUUCCCCUAGUAACGGCGAGUGAAGCGGGAAGAGCUCAAAUUUGAAAUCUUAAAGGGUUUCCCUUUACGAAUUGUAGUUUAAAGAAGUGUUUUCUGUUGAGGUUUUGGUAAAAGUUCUUUGGAAUAGGACAUCAUAGAGGGUGAGAAUCCCGUAUUUGACCUUUACUUUCAACUUUGUGAUACACUUUCAAAGAGUCGGAUUGUUUGGGAAUGCAGUCCAAAAUGGGUGGUAAAUUUCAUCUAAAGCUAAAUAUUGGCGAGAGACCGAUAGCGAACAAGUACCGUGAGGGAAAGAUGAAAAGAACUUUGAAAAGAGAGUUAAACAGUACGUGAAAUUGUCAAAAGGGAAGCGUUUGACACCAGUGUUGUUUUUCUGAAAAUCAAUUAAAGAACUGUUUAUGCUAAGCUGUUUAGACUUUAUCAGCUAAUCUGUUUAGUUUUGAGCUUUUCUUUAAUGCACUUUUCAGUUAACAAGUCAACAUCAAUUUCUUUUGCUGUAAAAAAGCUUGAGGAAGGUGGCUUGAGAUUCGUCUUAAGUGUUUAUAGCCUCUUGCCUAUGCAGUCGGAGAGAUUGAGGUCUGCAGCGUAGAUCCUUCGGGGCUAAAUGCAUUUGUGCUAAGUUAUAGCAUUUUAUAGACAACUUGUUGACUAUGAUUUGUCUUGUAGCUUACUCGCUUAUGUUAUUUUACCUACGCUUAGGAUGUUGACACACGCGCGUGCUCGACUCUAUACAUGACUCUGUGCAUAUCAAUAAGCGGAGGAAAAGGCUGCGGAACUGAACGACCGCUACCUACGCUUAGGAUGUUGACACACGCGCGUGCUCG
rnacentral:rRNA from 1 species